rnacentral:rRNA from 1 species
ACGGAAGGCAGCAGUAAGGGAUAUUGGGCAAUGGGGGGAACCCUGACCCAGCCAUGCCGCGUGAGGGAAUGAGGCCCUACGGGUCGUGAACCUCUUUUGCCUGGGGAUAACCCCUCUCGCGCGACGGGGGGCUGCAGGUACCAGGCGAAUAAGCAUCGGCUAACUCCGUGCCAGCAGCCGCGGUAAUACGGAGGAUGCGAGCGUUAUCCGGAUUCAUUGGGUUUAAAGGGUGCGCAGGCGGCGCGUUAAGUCAGCGGUGAAAUGCAGGGGACCAACCCCGGCAGUGCCGUUGAUACUGGCGUGCUGGAAUGCGGUCGAGGCGGGCGGAAUGUGGCGUGUAGCGGUGAAAUGCAUAGAUAUGCCACAGAACUCCGGUAGCGAAGGCAGCUCGCCAGGCCUGCAUUGACGCUCAGGCACGAAAGCGUGGGGAUCAAACAGGAUUAGAUACCCUGGUA